ACUUUGAAAAAAUUAGAGUGCUCAAAGCAGGCGCGACGCCUGGAUAAUGGUGCAUGGAAUAAUGGAAUAGGACCUCGGUUCUAUUUUGUUGGUUUUAGGAACACGAGGUAAUGAUUAAGAGGGACAGACGGGGGCAUUCGUAUUGCGACGCUAGAGGUGAAAUUCUUGGACCGCCGCACGACGAACUACUGCGAAAGCAUUUGCCAAGAAUGUUUCCAUUAAUCAAGAACGAAAGUUAGAGGUCCGAAGGCGAUCAGAUACCGCCCUAGUUCUAACCAUAAACGAUGCCAGCCAGCGAUCCGGCUGUGUUCCUCAAAUGACACGCCGGGCAGCUUCCGGGAAACCAAAGCUUUUGGGUUCCGGGGGGAGUAUGGUUGCAAAGCUUAAACUUGAAGGAAUUGACGGAAGCGCACACAAGGAAUGGGGCCUGCGGUUUAAUUUGACUCAACACGGUGCAACUCUCCUGGCCCGGACACAGGAAGGAUUGACAGAUUGAGAGCUCUUUCUUCAUUCUGUGAUAGGUGGUGCAUGGCCGUUUCUGGUUGGUGGAGUGAUUUGUCUGCUUUAUUGCGAUAACGAGCGAGACUCUAGCCUGCUAAAUAGACGGUGCGAUCCUUCUGAGUCGCACGUUCUUCUUAGAGGGACAGGCGGUGUUCAGCCGCACGAAACAGAGCAAAAACAGGUCAGGAUGCCCUUAGAUGUUCGGGGCCACACGCGCGCCACAUUGAAGGAAUCAGCGUGUGCUUUCCCUGUCCGACAGGACUGGGUAACCCGUUGAAACUCCUUCGUGCUGGGGAUAGGGGUUUGUAAUUGUCCCCCUUGAACGAGGAAUUCCCAGUAAGCGCGAGUCAUCAGCUCGUGUUGAUUACGUCCCUGCGCUUUGUACACACCGCCCGUCGCUAUUAUCGAUGAAUUUUGGAGUGAGAUCUU
rnacentral:rRNA from 2 species